rnacentral:rRNA from 1 species
GGGAAGAAGAGAAAUUGACGGUACCUGCAGAGAAAGCGCCGGCUAUCUACGUGCCAGCAGCCGCGGUAAUACGUAGGGCGCGAGCGUUGUCCGGAAUUAUUGGGCGUAAAGAGCUGGUACCCCCUCCCUCGCGUCUGCUGUGAAAGGCCGGGGCUUAACCCCGUGUAUUGCAGUGGGUACGGGCAGACUAGAGUGCAGUAGGGGAGACUGGAACUCCUGGUGUAGCGGUGGAAUGUGCAGAUAUCAGGAGGAACACCGAUGGCGAAGGCAGGUCUCUGGGCUGUAACUGACGCUGAGAAGCGAAAGCAUGGGGAGCGAACAAGGAUUAAAUACCAUGUUAGUCCAUACCGUAACCGUAGGGCACUAGGUAUGGGGGACAUUCCACGUUUUCCGCGCCGUAGCUAACGCAUUAAGUGCCCCGCCUGGGGAGUACGGCCGCAAGGCUAAAACUCAAAGAAAUUGACGGGGGCCCGCACAAGCGGCGGAGCAUGCGGAUUAAUUCGAUGCAACGCGAAGAACCUUACCAAGGCUUGACAUAUACUGGACCGCAUCAGAGAUGGUGUUUCCCUUCGGGGCUGGUAUACAGGUGGUGCAUGGUUGUCGUCAGCUCGUGUCGUGAGAUGUUGGGUUAAGUCCCGCAACGAGCGCAACCCUCGUUCUAUGUUGCCAGCACGUUAUGGUGGGGACUCAUAGGAGACUGCCGGGGUCAACUCGGAGGAAGGUGGGGAUGACGUCAAAUCAUCAUGCCCCUUAUGUCUUGGGCUUCACGCAUGCUACAAUGGCCGGUACAGAGGGUUGCGAUACUGUGAGGUGGAGCUAAUCCCUAAAAGCCGGUCUCAGUUCGGAUUGGGGUCUGCAACUCGACCCCAUGAAGUCGGAGUCGCUAGUAAUCGCAGAUCAGCAACGCUGCGGUGAAUACGUUCCCGGGCCUUGCACACACCGCCCGUCAAG